CUCAGCAACGGGUUUGAUUUGAUUUGGUAUUUCAUUUCUAUGUAUAAGAACUCACUUAGUUAAUUUAAUACUGAUUAGUGAUUCUUGCCUUUAUGUUUCAGGCUAUAUCCAAGAUGAGUGUUGAAAAAUUAUUUUCCCCCUCACUUCUCGUGUCUGAACCGCACAGUGGUUAAGACCUCAGCUGUUAACCAAAAGGUCAUCAGUUCAAAUCCACCAGCCACUCGACUGCAACAGAACCUGCCUUAAGUUUGCUGGAGUGGACUUGGAAAUGAAUACAUUUUUCAGAAGCUGAGGAAAGGAAGACACAGAAAAAUUAAGGUGUGCUUCAGAGUUGUAUCCUUUCACCAUACUUACUCUAUCUGUGUGCUGAGCAAAUAGUCUGAGACUGGAGUGUAUGAAGAAGAAGGCAACAUCAGGAUUGGAGGAAGACUCGUUAACAACCUGUGAUAUGCAGAUGACACAACUUUGCCUACUGAAAGGGAAGAGGACUUGAAGAACUUACUGAUGAAAAUCAAAGACUAUAACCUUCAGUAUGGAUUAUACCUUAACAUAAAGGAAACAAAAAUCCUCAAAACUGGCCCAAUUGGAAACAUGAUAAACAGAGAAAAUAUUGACAUAGUCAAGGGUUUCAUUUUACUUGCAUCCACAAUCAAUGCCCAUGGAAGCAGCAGUCAAGAAAUCAAAUGACCUAUUGCAUUGGGUGAAUCUGCUGUGAAAGACCUCUUUAAAGUGUUGAAAAGCAAGGAUGUCAGUUUGAGGACUAAGGUACACCUUAACUGAGCCAUGGAGUCCCUGGUGGCACAGUAGGUAAGAGCUUGGCUGCUAACCCAACGGUUGGCUGUUCAAAUCUACCAGCCAGUCUCUACGAGUCAGAAUUGACUUGAUGGCAACGGAUUUUUUUUGUUUUAAUCCAACCAUGAUAUUUUUAAUUGCCUCAUAUGCAUGCAAAAUCUGAACAAUAAAUAAGGAAGACCAAAGCAGAAUUGAUGCCUUUGAAUCAUGAUGCUGGCGAAGAAUAUUGAAUAUACCAUGGACUGCCAGAAGAACAAACAAGUCCAUCUUGGAAGACGUACAACCAGAGCGCUCCUUGGAAGCCAGGAUGGCGAGACUUGUCUCACGCACUUUGGAUAUGUCAUCAGGAGGGACCAGCCUCUGAAAAAAAAAAAAAAGAAGGACAUAAUUCUUGAUAAAGUAGAGGGUCAGUGAAAAAGACGAAGAUUCUCAAUGAGAUGGAUUGACACAGUGGCUGCGACAGUGGGCUCAAACAUAACAAUGAUUGUGCGGAUGGCACAGAACCAGGCAGUGUUUCAUUCUGUUGUGCAUAGGUUUGAUAUGAGUCGAAAUCAGCUCUUCAGCACCUAACAACAACAUCCCAAGAAUUCCCAUGUAGUAAGUGGCAGGGUUAGAAUUUAAGCUCUUGACAGUCUGGUCCUUCUGUUGCCAUGUUGCUAUCCUUCCUGUUGUCAUGAGUCUUCAUAAUAUCAUAAUUUGUAUUUUGACCUUAUCUUCAAUAAAUACUUGCUAAAUGGACCUGAACAGAAUUCUUGAUAUCGUAUUUGAGAAAUAAUAGAGUUAGUGUCCUGAAAUAUUAAUUUCAAAUAUUAAUUUGAAAAGUUAUAUACAACAUUUCUGCUUUAAUUUGAGGAAUCACUGGCACAAGCCUUAAAACUAUAUAAGCAUAGGGUUUAUUAGAAUAAACGAGGAAAAAAAUGAUAAAAUACAUCCUGAGUCUGACCUUUGUAGGUUUAAUUGAAAGUCAAUGACCUAACCACACAUCUCUGGAAAAUAUUCUGCAUCAUAGAGCCAAUUCUUACCUUCCAGUCUACGAAAUGGGUCUGAAUGUGAAGUUGGGGAUAAGAUCUUUAUGCCAGUUACUGCAAAAAUAAAAUGCAGAGAUUGUCACUGACACCCAGUAAAUUCACUGGCCUUACAAAGACAUUUGAUACUGUAAGUGACCUUGAAUUCAGCAGUCAUAAAGCCGGUUUGGGCUCCAAAAAUUAAGAAAAUAUUAACGGCUCUACAAUAUGCUGUUUGGUUCCAUAAGAAGUGAAAGAACCUUGAAAAAUAUAAAAUAGCAUUCAAAUAUAAAGUAAUAUCAUGACCAUUAUCAGAAUUUAUAGUCUUCUCUUCUCUCCAACUAAUGGGUUGAAAUCUGACAGUAAACUGUUCUCCUUCCAUCGAAGUGCCCUUGUUGUUGUUGUUGUUAGUUGCCUUCGAGUCAAUUCCAACUCACGGCAACCGCAUGUGUGCAGAGUAGAACUGCUCCAUAGAGUUUUCAAGGCUGUCACCUUUCAGAAGCAGGUCACCAGGCCUGUCUUCCAAAGCACCUCCGGGUGGGUUUGAACCACCAUCCUCUCUUCCAGUAGUUGUGCAUUUAACCAUUUGUACCUCCCUCUUGCAUGCGUCAGUGCAUAAUCUCAACAACUCUGCCAAUUGUCCUAACCACUGCAAGCUGUGGCACUGCCAGCUUUCCUUCUCCCCUUCUGCGGUGUUACACCCUCCUAUCCCAUACUCCAUCACCUGGAUUCAUUCAUUGGCACUGUCCUCUCACCCACACCCUCAUCCCUCACUCAGGGCAAUGCAUCUGUGAGUGAUAUUUUAUACAGUCUCUCUGCCCACACAUGGACUGUGAUUUCCAUUCUACUUCUGAAAGCCAGACAGGCCUUCCCAGGAUGAUUCUCUGAAAAUUGAUGACAGGGUUUCUUCCAGAAAAUUGCAGGGGGAGUUGAACUCAAUCUAUAUUAAGAACAGAUGCGUUCUUGAAGUCUCAGUUUUUUAAAAAGCUGAAGUUGAAAUGGCAUAUGUUUUGUUGCAAUAUGUAUUUAUCUCAAUUUUUAAAAAAGGCAGAAAAACUACAUGUCUGACUCUAGAGGAUAUACAUAUCUUCAUACCAGGUCCUUGAGGUAGUAGUCAGAGAUACCUUAUGCUAUUUAUUUAUGCUUGGGAAUACAUAUCUGAAAAAUGAAGGAGAUCAGGCACAACUUUACAGUUAGAGACUUUGAGUAACAAACACAGUUUCAAAAAAGACCUGUGUUUUGUAACAAAUAUUCCAGCUAAAGCUUUUCAAAUGUAGAAUUGAAAGAUGUGGCCUAAUUCUUUUUUUUUUAAUAAUGUUUUAUUGUGUUUUAGGUGAAAGUUUACACAGCAAAUUAGGUUCCCCUUUAACAAUUUUUAUACAAAUUUUUCUGUGCCAUUGGUUACAACUUUCGCAAAGUGUCAACAUUCUCAUUAUUCCAUUGUGUUUGUUCUCUUUCCAUUGACCUAGCUUCCCUUCCUCUCCUUGCCUUCUCAUCUUUGCUUUUGUUUAAUGGAGCACAUUACUCAUGGGUGAUAUUAUUUUAUAAGCCAAUCUAUUAUUUGGCUGAAAGGUGGCCUGCAGAAGUAACUUCAAUUCCAAGUUCAAAGGAUAUCUUAGGGUGAUAAUCUUGGGUGUUCCUCUAUCCUCUAUUGGUCCAGUAGGUCUGGCCUUUUUUAGGAAUUUGAGAUUUGUCCUACAUUUUUCUCCCAUUCUUUCCAGGACCAUCUAUUGUGUCCCUGAGUCAGAAUGGUCUGUAGCGGUAGCUGGGCACCAUCUAGUUCUGGUCUCAAGUUAGAAGAGGCUGUGGUUCGUAUAGGCUAUUAGUCUUGUGGACUAGUUUUUUCUUUGAGCCUUUGAUUUCCUUCAUUCUCUCUUGCUCCAUAUGAGUAGAGACCAAUAAUUAAGCUUUCAAGAUCCCAGACACUACUCACCAGACCUGGAUAUAGAACACUAUCUUUGUGAACUAUGUUAUGCCAUUUGACGAAGUUGUCCCCCAAAACUAUGGUCCCAAGCCUUUUUAACCCUGUAACCCAAUCCCGAGAGCCUGUAACUGUGUCCUCUGUGUGGUUUGUUAUAUAUGUGGAUGUAAAUGCAGCACCCACAAACAUGUAUAUACCUAUGCCUACAGAUACACCAAUAUAUGCAUGUGCAUUCACUGGCUUAAGCCUUCGUAUACACAUAUAUACAUGCAUAUCUACCUACAUAAUCACACACAUAUUUUUUUGGUUGUUUUUACUAUUGUUUCAAAAUUGUAUGUAUGUACCUUUUUCUUGUGUACUUCUUAAUAUUUUUAUUUACCUUGGUCAGGUAGUUCUUACUUCACCCAUUAUUGGGAUUGCCUUUUCCAUCACCAAAAGUAACAAUUAUCUGGAAAGUGAUUCCCCAUCCAUCUCCCUCCCAUCCCUGGUAACCAUCAAAGAACUUUGCUUUCUGUGUGUAUAUCUAUUCUUGACUUUUUAUAAUAGUGGAGCCAUACAAUAUUUGUCUUUUUGUGGUUGACUUAUUUCAUUCAGCAUAAUGUCCUCCAGAUUCGCCCAUGUUGAUAAGAUGUUUCAAGGACUCAUUAUUCUUUAAGGUUGCGGAGUAUUCCAUUGUGUGUAUGUACCACAAUUUGUUUAUCCAUUCAUCUGUUGAGCACUUAGGUUGUUUCCAUCUUUUUGCUAUUGUGAAUAAUGCUGCAAUGAACAUAGGUGUGCAUAUGUCUAUUCAUGUUACUUCUCUUAUAUCUCUAGGAUAUAUACCUAGAAGUGGGAUUGCUGUGGCCUAUUCUUUCAUCAAAUUCUGGGUUUCACAUUGACCAAAGGUCAUGAAGGUAUAUAAAACCCAACAUUCAGAAUAGAAUUAAAAGCUACAAUAUUCCAGCCAAGUGAUAGUCUAGCCUCUGCUUGAUGACCUCUGAU